ACAGUUUUAGUGUUUGGCACGUACACAUUUCUCAUAUAGAAAUAUAAGAACAAACUCAGUCACUACUACACCUUCACAUGUGUGUUUUUGAUUGAAAAGUAGCCUUAACGAGCCCUUUUAAUCCACAGAUCCAGCUGACAUGCCUGUUCCAUGGCUUCAGAUUGAACCUACAGAGUGUGAAGGUGAACUGAAAGCUGAGGAUCAAUGGCCUCUGUGAGGACAAAGGACCAGUAGAUGACGGUGAUGGAGGUGUUGACAACAACGAUGCCGAUCAUGAUGGGGUGCAUCAUGGUGCCUGAGGUGUUGAGCUCACAACUGAAGAUGCACACAUACUGUACAUCACACGAACAAUGUCUUUCCCCUGAUCCGGGUUAUGAAAAGAGUAUGUUUGUACUGUUAAGUGGCUAAAUUCCCAAUCUAACCCUGAAACCGUCACAGUCACCUAAUAAUCCCCAGUUUAUGAUUGGCUCAUUCAUCCCGCUCUCCCCUGUAACCAUUUCCCAGGGCGUUGCUGUAAAUUAGAACGUGUUCUCAAUCAAAUUACCUAGUAAAAUAAUGGAAAAAAUAAAGUGUAAAUGCUACAUUUUCAUUCCAUUUGUAAUCUUUGUCAAAGCACAGAGGAUAUCAAUGUGUUUCAGUGUGAAUGAGAAAGCUGAAGGGAAAUAACUUGUAGAGUAUUUCCAAAUUCAUAUGACCC